rnacentral:rRNA from 1 species
GACGUAGGGCGCGAGCGUUGUCCGGAUUUAUUGGGCGUAAAGAGCUCGUAGGCGGCUUGUCGCGUCGUCUGUGAAAUCCCGCGGCUCAACUGCGGGUCUGCAGGCGAUACGGGCAGGCUAGAGUUCGGUAGGGGAGACUGGAAUUCCUGGUGUAGCGGUGAGAUGCGUAGAUAUCAGGAGGAACACCGGUGGUGUAGACGGCUCACUGGACCGUAACUGACGCUGAGACACGAAAGCGUGGGUAGCAAACAGG